rnacentral:ribozyme from 13 species
UUUUCUUUUUCUUUUUAUUCCUUGAGGUAAUUUUUUUUUGUUGUCAUCUUUUUUGGGGGCCUUCCACAACACCAGAGCCGCAACGUCGAGUUUCAAACGUCCCCAUGCGGGUAAAAAAAAAAAAGCAAGCAAAUUCCAUAUAAAUUU